ACACUAUCAUUAACUGAAUCCAUAGGUUAAUGAGGCGAACCGGGGGAACUGAAACAUCUAAGUACCCCGAGGAAAAGAAAUCAACCGAGAUUCCCCCAGUAGCGGCGAGCGAACGGGGAGCAGCCCAGAGCCUGAAUCAGUGUGUGUGUUAGUGGAAGCGUCUGGAAAGGCGCGCGAUACAGGGUGACAGCCCCGUACACAAAAAUGCACAUACUGUGAGCUCGAUGAGUAGGGCGGGACACGUGGUAUCCUGUCUGAAUAUGGGGGGACCAUCCUCCAAGGCUAAAUACUCCUGACUGACCGAUAGUGAACCAGUACCGUGAGGGAAAGGCGAAAAGAACCCCGGCGAGGGGAGUGAAAAAGAACCUGAAACCGUGUACGUACAAGCAGUGGGAGCCUCUUAAUGGGGUGACUGCGUACCUUUUGUAUAAUGGGUCAGCGACUUAUAUUCUGUAGCAAGGUUAACCGAAUAGGGGAGCCGAAGGGAAACCGAGUCUUAACUGGGCGUUAAGUUGCAGGGUAUAGACCCGAAACCCGGUGAUCUAGCCAUGGGCAGGUUGAAGGUUGGGUAACACUAACUGGAGGACCGAACCGACUAAUGUUGAAAAAUUAGCGGAUGACUUGUGGCUGGGGGUGAAAGGCCAAUCAAACCGGGAGAUAGCUGGUUCUCCCCGAAAGCUAUUUAGGUAGCGCCUCGUGAAUUCAUCUCCGGGGGUAGAGCACUGUUUCGGCAAGGGGGUCAUCCCGACUUACCAACCCGAUGCAAACUGCGAAUACCGGAGAAUGUUAUCACGGGAGACACACGGCGGGUGCUAACGUCCGUCGUGAAGAGGGAAACAACCCAGACCGCCAGCUAAGGUCCCAAAGUCAUGGUUAAGUGGGAAACGAUGUGGGAAGGCCCAGACAGCCAGGAUGUUGGCUUAGAAGCAGCCAUCAUUUAAAGAAAGCGUAAUAGCUCACUGGUCGAGUCGGCCUGCGCGGAAGAUGUAACGGGGCUAAACCAUGCACCGAAGCUGCGGCAGCGACGCUUAUGCGUUGUUGGGUAGGGGAGCGUUCUGUAAGCCUGUGAAGGUGUACUGUGAGGUAUGCUGGAGGUAUCAGAAGUGCGAAUGCUGACAUAAGUAACGAUAAAGCGGGUGAAAAGCCCGCUCGCCGGAAGACCAAGGGUUCCUGUCCAACGUUAAUCGGGGCAGGGUGAGUCGACCCCUAAGGCGAGGCCGAAAGGCGUAGUCGAUGGGAAACAGGUUAAUAUUCCUGUACUUGGUGUUACUGCGAAGGGGGGACGGAGAAGGCUAUGUUGGCCGGGCGACGGUUGUCCCGGUUUAAGCGUGUAGGCUGGUUUUCCAGGCAAAUCCGGAAAAUCAAGGCUGAGGCGUGAUGACGAGGCACUACGGUGCUGAAGCAACAAAUGCCCUGCUUCCAGGAAAAGCCUCUAAGCAUCAGGUAACAUCAAAUCGUACCCCAAACCGACACAGGUGGUCAGGUAGAGAAUACCAAGGCGCUUGAGAGAACUCGGGUGAAGGAACUAGGCAAAAUGGUGCCGUAACUUCGGGAGAAGGCACGCUGAUAUGUAGGUGAAGCGACUUGCUCGUGGAGCUGAAAUCAGUCGAAGAUACCAGCUGGCUGCAACUGUUUAUUAAAAACACAGCACUGUGCAAACACGAAAGUGGACGUAUACGGUGUGACGCCUGCCCGGUGCCGGAAGGUUAAUUGAUGGGGUNGCGAAGCUCUUGAUCGAAGCCCCGGUAAACGGCGGCCGUAACUAUAACGGUCCUAAGGUAGCGAAAUUCCUUGUCGGGUAAGUUCCGACCUGCACGAAUGGCGUAAUGAUGGCCAGGCUGUCUCCACCCGAGACUCAGUGAAAUUGAACUCGCUGUGAAGAUGCAGUGUACCCGCGGCAAGACGGAAAGACCCCGUGAACCUUUACUAUAGCUUGACACUGAACAUUGAGCCUUGAUGUGUAGGAUAGGUGGGAGGCUUUGAAGUGUGGACGCCAGUCUGCAUGGAGCCGGCCUUGAAAUACCACCCUUUAAUGUUUGAUGUUCUAACGUUGGCCCGUAAUCCGGGUUGCGGACAGUGUCUGGUGGGUAGUUUGACUGGGGCGGUCUCCUCCUAAAGAGUAACGGAGGAGCACGAAGGUUGGCUAAUCCUGGUCGGACAUCAGGAGGUUAGUGCAAUGGCAUAAGCCAGCUUGACUGCGAGCGUGACGGCGCGAGCAGGUGCGAAAGCAGGUCAUAGUGAUCCGGUGGUUCUGAAUGGAAGGGCCAUCGCUCAACGGAUAAAAGGUACUCCGGGGAUAACAGGCUGAUACCGCCCAAGAGUUCAUAUCGACGGCGGUGUUUGGCACCUCGAUGUCGGCUCAUCACAUCCUGGGGCUGAAGUAGGUCCCAAGGGUAUGGCUGUUCGCCAUUUAAAGUGGUACGCGAGCUGGGUUUAGAACGUCGUGAGACAGUUCGGUCCCUAUCUGCCGUGGGCGCUGGAGAACUGAGGGGGGCUGCUCCUAGUACGAGAGGACCGGAGUGGACGCAUCACUGGUGUUCGGGUUGUCAUGCCAAUGGCACUGCCCGGUAGCUAAAUGCGGAAGAGAUAAGUGCUGAAAGCAUCUAAGCACGAAACUUGCCCCGAGAUGAGUUCUCCCUGACUCCUUGAGAGUCCUGAAGGAACGUUGAAGACGACGACGUUGAUAGGCCGGGUGUGUAAGCGCAGCGAUGCGUUGAGCUAACCGGUACUAAUGAACCGUGAGGCUUAACCUU
rnacentral:rRNA from 1 species